rnacentral:rRNA from 1 species
AUUGAACGCUGGCGGCAUGCUUUACACAUGCAAGUCGAACGGUAACAGGCCUUCGGGCGCUGACGAGUGGCGAACGGGUGAGUAAUGCAUCGGAACGUGCCCAGUCGUGGGGGAUAACGCAGCGAAAGCUGUGCUAAUACCGCAUACGAUCUGCGGAUGAAAGCGGGGGACCUUCGGGCCUCGCGCGAUUGGAGCGGCCGAUGUCAGAUUAGGUAGUUGGUGGGGUAAAGGCUCACCAAGCCAACGAUCUGUAGCUGGUCUGAGAGGACGACCAGCCACACUGGGACUGGGACACGGCCCAGACUCCUACGGGAGGCAGCAGUGGGGAAUUUUGGACAAUGGGCGCAAGCCUGAUCCAGCAAUGCCGCGUGCAGGAAGAAGGCCUUCGGGUUGUAAACUGCUUUUGUACGGAGCGAAAAGGCUCCCUCUAAUACAGGGGGCUCAUGACGGUACCGUAAGAAUAAGCACCGGCUAACCACGCGCCAGCCGCCGCAGUAACAC